rnacentral:rRNA from 1 species
GAUGAACGCUGGCGGCGUGCCUAAUACAUGCAAGUCGAGCGAACGGACGAGAAGCUUGCUUUUCUGAUGUUAGCGGCGGACGGGUGAGUAACACGUGGAUAACCUACCUAUAAGACUGGGAUAACUUCGGGAAACCGGAGCUAAUACCGGAUAAUAUUUUGAACCGCAUGGUUCAAAAGUGAAAGACGGUCUUGCUGUCACUUAUAGAUGGAUCCGCGCUGCAUUAGCUAGUUGGUAAGGUAACGGCUUACCAAGGCAACGAUGCAUAGCCGACCUGAGAGGGUGAUCGGCCACACUGGAACUGAGACACGGUCCAGACUCCUACGGGAGGCAGCAGUAGGGAAUCUUCCGCAAUGGGCGAAAGCCUGACGGAGCAACGCCGCGUGAGUGAUGAAGGUCUUCGGAUCGUAAAACUCUGUUAUUAGGGAAGAACAUAUGUGUAAGUAACUGUGCACAUCUUGACGGUACCUAAUCAGAAAGCCACGGCUAACUACGUGCCAGCAGCCGCGGUAAUACGUAGGUGGCAAGCGUUAUCCCGAAUUAUUGGGCGUAAAGCGCGCGUAGCGGUUUUUUAAGUCUGAUGUGAAAGCCCACGGCUCAACCGUGGAGGGUCAUUGGAAACUGGAAAACUUGAGUGCAGAAGAGGAAAGUGGAAUUCCAUGUGUAGCGGUGAAAUGCGCAGAGAUAUGGAGGAACACCAGUGGCGAAGGCGACUUUCUGGUCUGUAACUGACGCUGAUGUGCGAAAGCGUGGGGAUCAAACAGGAUUAGAUACCCUGGUAGUCCACGCCGUAAACGAUGAGUGCUAAGUGUUAGGGGGUUUCCGCCCCUUAGUGCUGCAGCUAACGCAUUAAGCACUCCGCCUGGGGAGUACGACCGCAAGGUUGAAACUCAAAGGAAUUGACGGGGACCCGCACAAGCGGUGGAGCAUGUGGUUUAAUUCGAAGCAACGCGAAGAACCUUACCAAAUCUUGACAUCCUUUGACAACUCUAGAGAUAGAGCCUUCCCCUUCGGGGGACAAAGUGACAGGUGGUGCAUGGUUGUCGUCAGCUCGUGUCGUGAGAUGUUGGGUUAAGUCCCGCAACGAGCGCAACCCUUAAGCUUAGUUGCCAUCAUUAAGUUGGGCACUCUAAGUUGACUGCCGGUGACAAACCGGAGGAAGGUGGGGAUGACGUCAAAUCAUCAUGCCCCUUAUGAUUUGGGCUACACACGUGCUACAAUGGACAAUACAAAGGGCAGCGAAACCGCGAGGUCAAGCAAAUCCCAUAAAGUUGUUCUCAGUUCGGAUUGUAGUCUGCAACUCGACUACAUGAAGCUGGAAUCGCUAGUAAUCGUAGAUCAGCAUGCUACGGUGAAUACGUUCCCGGGUCU